CAUGCCUAACACAUGCAAGUCGAACGAGAAAGCACUUUCGGGUGCAAGUAUAGUGGCAAACGGGUGAGUAACGCGUGGGAAUCUACCUAGAAGUAUGGAAUAGCUCUGGGAAACUGGAAUUAAUACCAUAUACGCCCUCCGGGGGAAAGAUUUAUCGCUUCUAGAUGAGCCCGCGUCAGAUUAGCUUGUUGGUGGGGUAAUGGCCUACCAAGGCGACGAUCUGUAGCUGAUUUGAGAGGAUGAUCAGCCACACUGGGACUGAGACACGGCCCAGACUCCUACGGGAGGCAGCAGUGGGGAAUAUUGGACAAUGGGCGAAAGCCUGAUCCAGCAAUGCCGCGUGAGUGAAGAAGGCCUUAGGGUUGUAAAGCUCUUUCAACAAGGAAGAUAAUGACGGUACUUGUAGAAGAAGCACCGGCUAACUCCGUGCCAGCAGCCGCGGUAA
rnacentral:rRNA from 1 species